rnacentral:lncRNA from 1 species
UGUCACACGCACACUCAGCUUUGCGGAAAUUAUGGGCAUUCUGUCGAAGAUUUCUGGCGAAGUAGAAAGCACAUGAAUCGUACUGUUCAAUCACCCACUUCCCACACGCAACAGUAGCUCAUGGGUACCACAGAUAACUUUGCCAAAGUUCUCUGACAAAGUUGAGACACGUGAAGCUUGCAACUCCCACUACAUCGCUCUGACCAAGAAGGGUAAAA